rnacentral:rRNA from 1 species
GACGAACGCUGGCGGCGUGCUUAACACAUGCAAGUCGAACGGAAAGGCCCUGCUUUUGUGGGGUGCUCGAGUGGCGAACGGGUGAGUAACACGUGAGUAACCUGCCCUUGACUUUGGGAUAACUUCAGGAAACUGGGGCUAAUACCGGAUAGGAUCUCCUGCUGCAUGGUGGGGGUUGGUAAGUUUCGGCGGUUGGGGGUUGACUCGCGGCUUAUCAGCUCGUUGGUGGGGUAGUGUCAUACCAAGGCUUUGACGGGUAGCCGGCCUGAGCGGAUGACCGGCCACAUUGGGACGGGGAUACGGCCCGGACUCCUACGGGAGGCAGCGGUGGGGAAUAUUACACAAUGGGCUGAAGCCAGAUGCAGCAACGCCGCGUGCGGGAUGACGGCCUUCGGGUUGUAAACCGCUUUCGCCUGUGACGAAGCGUGAGUGACGGUAAUGGGUAAAGAAGCACCGGCUAACUACGUG